AACAGUGUGGUGUAGUGGUUUGAGCACUAGACUAUGAUUCUGAUGACCAGGGUUCAAACCCUUGUUCAGCCA